UACAGAGGGUGCGAGCGUUAAUCGGAUUUACUGGGCGUAAAGCGCGCGUAGGCGGUCCAUCAAGUCAGAGGUGAAAGCCCGGGGCUCAACCCCGGAACUGCCUUUGAAACUGGCGGACUAGAAUCUUGGAGAGGCGAGUGGAAUUCCGAGUGUAGAGGUGAAAUUCGUAGAUAUUCGGAAGAACACCAGUGGCGAAGGCGACUCGCUGGACAAGUAUUGACGCUGAGGUGCGAAAGCGUGGGGAGCAAACAGG
rnacentral:misc_RNA from 1 species